UGCAGUCGACCGGAUCCUUCGGGAUUAGUGGCUGACAGUGGUGAGUCACACGUGGGAACGUGCCUUUUGGUUCGGAACAACUCAGGGAAACUUGAGCUAAUACCGAAUGUGCCCUUCGGGGGAAAGAUUUAUCGCCUUUAGAGCGGCCCGCGUCUGAUUAGCUAGUUGGUGAGGUAAAGGCUCACCAAGGCUACGAUCAGUAGCUGGUCUGAGAGGAUGAUCAGCCACAUUGGGACUGAGACACGGCCCAAACUCCUACGGGAGGCAGCAGUGGGGAAUCUUGCGCAAUGGGCGAAAGCCUGACGCAGCCAUGCCGCGUGAAUGAUGAAGGUCUUAGGAUUGUAAAAUUCUUUCACCGGGGACGAUAAUGACGGUACCCGGAGAAGAAGCCCCGGCUAACUUCGUGCCAGCAGCCGCGGUAAUACGAAGGGGGCUAGCGUUGCUCGGAAUUACUGGGCGUAAAGGGAGCGUAGGCGGAUAGUUUAGUCAGAGGUGAAAGCCCAGGGCUCAACCUUGGAAUUGCCUUUGAUACUGGCUAUCUUGAGUAUGGGAGAGGUUAGCGGAACUCCGAGUGUAGAGGUGAAAUUCGUAGAUAUUCGGAAGAACACCAGUGGCGAAGGCCGCUAACUG
rnacentral:rRNA from 1 species